GCAGUGCUUCACUCCGCAAAACAAGAAACAACAACAUGGGACUUUUCUAGUACAUUCCUUGGGAAACUUGGUAUGUCCUGCUUGAAAGAAAAGCCCAAAUAAGACUGCCAAGAUCAUCCAGAGGGACAGCCAGAACAGGAAGCCAGUCUAACUGCACUCUGAUGACACUGGCUUAUGAUGAACUGGAUUGAUUGCACAGCAGAUAGAAACUACUAUGUAACUGCCCAGGGUGAAGCAAGGAUUCAUCUCACAUUGAGGAAAUCUAUUUCCACCCAUGGCUCUCAGAAGCUGGUCUUCUGCUUGCUGUUGAGCCCAGAAGAUACCUUCAAAUUUUCAGGAAAGAAGAGAUGACUGGGAAAGUUUCCAGAAUGGUGGUUUUUGUAACAUCUGUAGCCUCAGAACUUAAGAAGAGCAAGCAUAAAAUGUGUUUUUGCAAAUGUUUUUCAUGGAUUUAAGACCUAAGCUGUUUAACAGAUUGUCUUGCUUAAGAAAUAUGACUUGUUUUAGCUGACAAGAUGGAUUUUAUGAACUGAUUGAUCCCAGCUGCCAAUUGUCAAAGCCAGAGGAUGUUCCAAAUUGGCAGUCCCCAAAGACCUGGAGUGGAUUGAUUUAAGGUGGGGAAAGGAAGAUUUGGAGGUGGAGAAAAUAGAGUUUUAUAAAACUAAUAUGAUUCUGAAAGUAUUUGAAACACAAAUAUCCAUUAGAACACACAAAAAGUUAAAAUAGUUCAAGCUUCAUUCUACUUUGUGAGCUGUUCUAAUACCUUCUAAGGCUGUAGGUGCCCUCUUCACCUUUUGUUUGCUUCUCAUUGGACUUUUAAUAGUAAAUAGCACAAAGGAUAGAGAUAUAUAUCCAAGAUUUUAUGUAUGUAUAAAAUCUUCACAGCUUCAAAGUUUGAAUUAUGUACUUUCUGAAGAAGGAACUGUUUCGAGUUCAUGAAAUUAUUCUCUGUAUUUUGACAAAUUACAAGCAUCUACAUUUUAAGAAAGACAUGGUGAGGCCUUUUGCUUGGAUAGAUUCUUGAGAUGGUAAAUGAGGCAGCUGUUUGA
rnacentral:lncRNA from 1 species